GCCGGGGUGGUGGAAUCGGUAGACACAAGGCACUUAAAAUGCCUCGGCCCUUGGCCGUGCGGGUUCAAGUCCCGCCCUCGGCACCA
rnacentral:tRNA from 1 species